GUGCUUUCUUUGGCAGCACAUACACUAAAAUUGGAAUGAUAGAGAGAAGAUUAGCAUGUCCCUGUGCAAGGAUGACAUACAAAUUCAUAAAGUGUUCCAUAUUUAA
rnacentral:snRNA from 1 species